UGUGAAAUCCCCAAAUCUGCUGUUAGGACAACCUGAGAAGCAGAGCCAAAUAGAAAGUGGUUUUCUCAAAUCAUUCAGGUUACAAGCAGAUGCACAUCCCUGUGAGGCCAAAGGUCUUCCUUCCAUUUAGUCAUUUCUCAAGGCUCUGAAGGAGAGUGAGGAUUAAGAGCCAACUUUUUGUUACCUAAAUCAUGCACAGAGAGGAAAAAUAUGAAGAAUGCUAAAAGGUGGAAGGAUGUGCUCGCUACAGCAGUUCCUCUGGCAUAUAGGAUUUAGAGCAGAUAAUUUCAUAACACCGAAAGGUCAUGCAAAUACCAGUCUGGAAGAGAUAUGGAGAGACCUAACUUUGUAGAAGAUGAGUCUGAAGCAGGCAUGUAAUAUAUUGUCCUUUGUUCACCGCUGGGAAACAGGUGUUCCUUGAAGAUCGCCGGGCGAGGAAGGAGGCGGCUUCCCGAGGGUCGGCGGGCGAUGCCGGCGGGCGGCCGCAGCCGGGGCGGGGGACCCGGUGCUGCCGGGGUCACAACUUUGCCGGGGCUGGCGUUGGCUCGAUGGACUCCGCGGGCAGCGGCGCCCCCGCCCGCCCCGCCGCUCCCCCCGCCGCCGCCGCCUGGAAAAAUGCAGUGUGCCAUUUUACACCCGCCUCUGGAGCACACAGGACCAAAGUCUAGCGCUGGUUUUCGGUGACACUGCAAAACUACGGCUCGCCCCGCGCAACCCCACGCCUCAUCCUCCCCUCGGAGAGAGCAGCUGCCUCUUGAGAAUUAAUAA